AGAGUUUGAUUAUGGCUCAGGAUGGACGCUAGCGAUAGGCCUAACACAUGCAAGUCGAGGGGCAGCACAUGAAGUAGCAAUACGGAUGGUGGCGACCGGCGCACGGGUGAGUAACGCGUAUGCAACCUGCCUACAACAGGGGAAUAACCCGUUGAAAGACGGACUAAUACCCCAUAACACAGGGAUCCCGCAUGGGAAUAUUUGUUAAAGAUUUAUCGGUUGUAGAUGGGCAUGCGUUCCAUUAGCUUGUUGGUGAGGUAACGGCUCACCAAGGCAACGAUGGAUAGGGGAACUGAGAGGUUUAUCCCCCACACUGGUACUGAGACACGGACCAGACUCCUACGGGAGGCAGCAGUGAGGAAUAUUGGUCAAUGGACGCAAGUCUGAACCAGCCACGUCGCGUGAAGGAAGACGGCCCUACGGGUUGUAAACUUCUUUUGUAAGGGAAUAAAGUGUAGUACGUGUACUAUUUUGCAUGUACCUUACGAAUAAGGAUCGGCUAACUCCGUGCCAGCAGCCGCGGUAAUACGGAGGAUCCGAGCGUUAUCCGGAUUUAUUGGGUUUAAAGGGUGCGCAGGCGGGAGAUUAAGUCGGCGGUGAAAUUUUGCAGCUCAACUGUAAAAGUGCCUUCGAAACUGGUUUCCUUGAGUGUGGAUGAAGUAGGCGGAAUUUGUGGUGUAGCGGUGAAAUGCAUAGAUAUCACGAGGAACUCCGAUUGCGCAGGCAGCUUACUAAACCAUAACUGACGCUCAGGCACGAAGGCGUGGGGAUCAAACAGGAUUAGAUACCCUGGUAGUC
rnacentral:rRNA from 1 species